rnacentral:rRNA from 1 species
GACGGAGGAUGCAAGCGUGAUCCGGAAUUAUUGGGCGUAAAGCGUCCGCAGGUGGUUAAUCAAGUCUGCUGUCAAAAUGCGAGGCUCAACUUCGUAAAGGCAGUGGAAACUGAUGAACUAGAGCAUGGUAGGGGUAGAGGGAAUUCCCGGUGUAGCGGUGAAAUGCGUAGAUAUCGGGAAGAACACCAGUGGCGAAAGCGCUCUACUGGGCCAUGACUGACACUGAGGGACGAAAGCUAGGGGAGCGAAAGGG